UUUCCGUAGGUGAACCUGCGGAAGGAUCAUUAUCGUAAAACCGAGGUGCGAGGGCUGUCGCUGACCUUUUCGGUUGUGCACGCCCGAGCGCUCUCCCACAAUCCAUCUCACCCCUUGUGCACCACCGCGUGGGUCCCUUUCUGGCUCGUCCGGAGGGGGGCUCGCGUUUUAACACAAAAUUGAAGUAGUGUAGAAUGUCCUUUUUUGGCGUUAACACGCAAUCAAUACAACUUUCAACAACGGAUCUCUUGGCUCUC
rnacentral:misc_RNA from 1 species